rnacentral:rRNA from 1 species
CUGUGAGCGUGCGGGCGAUACGGGCAGACUUGAGUACUGCAGGGGAGACUGGAAUUCCUGGUGUAGCGGUGGAAUGCGCAGAUAUCAGGAGGAACACCGGUGGCGAAGGCGGGUCUCUGGGCAGUAACUGACGCUGAGGAGCGAAAGCGUGGGGAGCGAACAGGAUUAGAUACCCUGGUAGUCCACGCCGUAAACGGUGGGUACUAGGUGUGGGUUUCCUUCCUUGGGAUCCGUGCACGUAGACUACGCAUUCAGUACCCCGACUGGGGAGUACGGCCGCAAUGCUAAAACUCAGAGAAAUUGACGGGGGCCCGCACAAGCGGCGGAGCAUGUGGAUUAAUUCGAUGCAACGCGAAGAACCUUACUUGGGUUUGACAUGCACAGGACGCCGGCAGAGAUGUCGGUUCCCUUGUGGCCUGUGUGCAGGUGGUGCAUGGCUGUCGUCAGCUCGUGUCGUGAGAUGUUGGGUUAAGUCCCGCAACGAGCGCAACCCUGGUCUCAUGUUGCCAGCGGGUAAUGCCGGGGACUCGUGAGAGACUGCCGGGGUCAACUCGGAGGAAGGUGGGGAUGACGUCAAGUCAUCAUGCCCCUUAUGUCCAGGGCUUCACACAUGCUACAAUGGCCGG